rnacentral:rRNA from 1 species
UACGUAGGGGGCGAGCGUUGUCCGGAUUUAUUGGGCGUAAAGAGCUCGUAGGCGGUUUGGUAAGUUGGAUGUGAAAUCUCCAGGCUCAACUUGGAGGGGUCAUUCGAUACUGCCAUGACUAGAGUUCGGUAGGGGAGUGUGGAAUUCCUGGUGGAGCGGUGAAAUGCGCAGAUAUCAGGAGGAACACCCGUAGCGAAGGCGGCACUCGGGGCCGGAACUGACGCUGAGGAGCGAAAGCGUGGGGAGCGAACAGG